UGAGCUUGUCGGCCCUGAACUGGAAGCCCUUUGUGUACAGAGGCCUGACCUCCACCCUAGCUGAGUUCAGUAAGUUUCCAGUUGAUUUAACCAAGACACGGCUCUAGAUUCAAGACCAGAAGAAUGAUGCAGACUUUAAAGAAAUCAAGUAUUGAGCAAUGUUGAAUGCGUUAGUGAGGAUAGGCAGAGAGGAAUGCCUGAAAGCACUGUAUUUGAGGAGUACCCUUCGAUGUUACACCAGGCUUCAUGUGGAACCAUCAAGAUAGGCACCUACCAGAGCUUGAAGCGGCUAUUUGUCAAGUGCCCAGAAGAUGAAACCCUUCUUAUAAAUGUGGGUCUGUGGAAUUCUCUCUGGAGUCAUAUCCUCAACCAUUUCCAUUCCAGCUAAUGUGUUGAAAAUUCAGAUGGCAGCACAAAACAACACCUUCAAGGAGGAAUAAUAGGCGACUUCAUUAACGUUUACUAGCAAGAGGGAACCAGAAGACCGCGGAAGGGCGUGUCCCUCGUUGCUCAGAGGGCCACCGAUGUUGGCUGCAUGGAGCCGUGGGUUUACCGCCUCACUGAGAAGCAUCUGAUCUUCUCGUGCCUGAUGGGAGACACUGUGUAACCCAUUUCCUCUCAAGCUUCAGCGCUGGCUUGGCAGGGGCCCUGGCCUCAAACCCUGCCAGUCUGGUGAGAGCACGCACACUGAACUGGAAUCCUUCAGGAUGGCAGACACCCUGGUCUCACAGGCGCUCUGCAGUGCUUGCUACAGACAUGGGAGGACGAGGGGCUUUUUGUUCUGUGUAAAGGGUUUUGGCUAAGUUGAUUGAGACUUGGUCCUUGGAAUAUUAUUUUCUUUGUGACAUACAAGCAGUUGAAGGAAUUGAAUUUGUGACAAGACUGCAUGAGACAUCCUUCUGAAAAUGCUCACUUCUGAAAUAGCAGCGCUUCCAGUCUUUCCCACUGCUUUGCCCGCCACAGAUGCUUAGGUGUCCACAAGUGAGGACUGUGUUAUGUGAGUUGCUGUAUCUUGGCCUUGGGUGCUCUGCUCCAAACAUUUAAUGGCAUAAACUGUAACGUCCAGACACUAGUUCUUACUAUCCAAGUACCCUUCCACAUCAAAUAAAACAUGAAAUGCACGUUUCUUGCUAAGGAAAACUUGCAUGAAUGUCAGGAACUGUGGGUCAUUUCCUUUGCAGAGAGUAACUCCUGCAUCUCAGAUCAUAGCGGAGACUCCCUGAUGUUCUAAAGAAGCUCAUCCAAACCAUGGAAUAGAGCCUCUGAGAAAGUGUCAUUGUUCUGAACUUCUGGGCAGCUUUGGCUUGGUGUCUGCUGAAGAAGUUCACACAUAGAGACAUGGUAUACCUCAGGUAUAAACAAUGCAGGAUAUGGAUCCCUGGAACGUUGCAGUGCUUUGUAGUUUCUUAUUUUGGCAGGGUCUUUCACUUAUUAAAGUAAGUGAUUUUUAAACCUUUACCACUUGAGGUUUGUGAGGAAUUGUUGUGAAAGUGUUAAUUUCUAAACUCAGGAUGGUAUAAUAUGUUAGCUUGGAAGGUGGCAAAGUCUGUGUUGGUGGGAGAUGUUUUUGAGCAAGUUGGGUCCUUAAGUAAUGUUCCUAAUUUUAGAUUUUAGCAAGUUUCUGUUUCCCAGUCUGUAAGAUGAGGGUGAUAACCUCUACUGAUACUGAGAAUAAAGUGAAGAAAACUUGACUUGUAGGAUAACUGUGUUUACAUCAUGCUUUCAUAUAGCCAUAAUACAAAAUAAAUGGUCUGGUGUAUUGAAGAGAAUUAUUUUAUCAUGAGCUGCUUCUGAGUGAGGUUCUUUGAUAAAAGCCAUGUGAAAGAAAGAGGUUAAGGUUUUAUUAUGUUUUCCUUAGCAAGAGGUUGCAAGUAAAUCAAAGAGUUGAUUUUUAUAGAUUUCCCAGGUUUCACUUUAGUUCUGGUCCUGUUUAUUAAAGUAUUUCUUGUCUUGGACUUCCUAAGUGGUUUGGAUGGAAAAUGAUUGCUUGAAAUCUCAAAAGCGAUUUUUCAUGUACCUAGAGUUUGAGAAGAGGUACGUAGUGUCUUCCUUCUUGUUUUUCUGAAGACAGGAUGUCAUUCUUCUUUGCUGUGUUCAUCUUACUCUUUUUAAAAUAGUGACUUUGAGCUCCCCAUGACCUUUACACUUCAAGAAGACAUCCCCAGAAAAGGAAAUAUUUAAUAUUUACAUGGGUACCUUUGUUUCUACCCUUUGAGAGUAACUUAAAUACAUACUCGCUGGGGCUCUAGGACAGACACUUCUGCAGUAAAUGCAGGUUCCCAGUCGGUCGAGUCCCUGGGCUGCUUCCUCCCUAGAAGUGACAUAGAAGCCACACAGGUUUUUCUGGGGGAUUGGACAAUUUUCCUCCCAAUCACCUUCACCUUGUCUUCUUUGUUAAUGCUGACUUUGAAAACAAGAUUUUUGUGAAGCAGAAUUUUAGUUCCAAAAGUAAGAUAUAAGGCACGAAAGGAGGUUGGAGGAGCAGGUGAGUGUUGAUUGCUUCAAGACUCAGGUGGAAGUCCAGUCAGUUCUCCCUGACCAGCUCCAAAUGUGAUGCUGAAGAGCUGAGCCCUUUCAGGCCUCAUCCCUUGUAAUGAAUCAUAUCUUUACAGAGGAAUUUUUUUUUCUUCUUACCAGAACAGUUCCACUGAGCUGGUAAUGGUUUUCUAUUAGAAAGGCUUUCACUUUUGCGUUCCUUGAGUUUAAAGGAUGACUAUUUUAUGAGAUUUUUUUAUGAGCCACUCUUUUUUUUCUUUUAAUGUAGAAGACAUUUUAAGUGUACAUAUAAUCCCUAGGACAGUAGAAGCAAGUUAAUUUUGAAGACCAUGUAAAGGUUGAAUACCAUUCAAUAUUCAUUGUAUCAGUUUGUUCAAAUAUGUACAUGUUUGUGUGUGUAUGUAUUUGCUCAGUUGUGUCUGACUCUUUGCGACCCCAGGGAUUGUAGCCUGCCAGGUUCCUCUGUCCAUGUUCACACCAGAAUGAAAAGAAAGCCAAGCCUCAUUGUAAAAGCACAUUUUUAAGAUAAAAAUAUAGUAUUUCUUUAGUGCAGAUUUAUUAAAUACCUUAUGGAACAGUCUUGUUUUGAUUUUUUUCUUCUUUUUUUGCUGCUUCCUGAAAAUGUAAUGUAGUUGUUGAAGUUUCUGACCCAAGAAAGAAGUUGAAGAACUGGGAGACUCGGUCCCCUUGUUUCCAGGGCUGUGACUACAAGUCCCCGCCUCCCCCCAUUCCCUUGGGCAAAUGUGGCAAAGGGAAUUUUACCUUUUAUAAUCAAAAUGAAGAAAGUGGAUUUUUUUUGUUUGCUUGUGGAUUUGUUUAAUCAUUGAUGCUAAGUAUUGCCUGAUUGAGAUAUAAAAAAAGUUUCUGUUCUCAGUAUUUGUUCAUGUGUUGGAAAUAGUGUAUGUUAUAUAAAAACUAUAAAAGUUUUCAUAAGCCUUUAUAUUUCAAGAUCUUCAUUUAAACAUAGUUGGAAUGUGUGGCAUAAACCUUGUAUCAUUAUUUAAUAAACUGGAAUAAUAUUUAAAAGAAGACCACAUUUCUAACUCAUCAGUGAUACAUUUUUUCCUGGAUUAGAAUCAGAACUAGAACUUCUAGAACUAACACGAAAAAAAGAUGUCCUUUUCCCAGGACCCGUGAUGCUGAGGCAGCUGCAAGGAGCGACGAACUGUCGGGGUUGAGCCCCAAGUGAGCUGAGGGCUCACGCUCUUCUGGCCCUAUCCUCCGGGCCCGCCCCACUUGAAGAAAUGAGUAGUGGAUUGGCCCCAAGUAAAAGCACAGUGUGUGUAUCCAAUCUGCCCUUUUCCCUGACCAACAGUGACUUAUAUCGGAUAUUUUCCAAGUAUGGCAAAGUUGUAAAGGUUACUAUAAUGAAAGAUAAAGAUACCAGGAGGAGUAAAGGGGUUGCAUUUAUUUUAUUUUUGGAUAAAGACUCUGCACAAAACUGUACCAGGGCAAUAAACAACAAACAGUUAUUUGGUAGAGUGAUAAAAGCAAGCAUUGCUAUCGACAGUGGAAGAGCAGCUGAGUUCAUCCUAAGACGAAACUACUUUGAUAAAUCUAAGUGUUAUGAAUGUGGGGAAAGUGGACACUUAAGUUAUGAAACUACUUUGAUAAAUCUAAGUGUUA